UGACGAGUUUGAUCCUGGCUCAGAUUGAACGCUGGCGGUAUGCCUUACACAUGCAAGUCGAACGGUAGAGGAGCAAUCCUUGAGAGUGGCGAACGGGUGAGUAAUACAUCGGAACGUGCCCAGUCGUGGGGAUAACGUAGCGAAAGGCUACGCUAAUACCGCAUACGACCUGAGGGUGAAAGCGGGGGACCUGCAAGGGCCUCGCGCGAUUGGAGCGGCCGAUGGCAGAUUAGGUAGUUGGUGGGUAAAGGCCCACCAAGCCGACGAUCUGUAGCUGGUCUGAGAGGACGACCAGCCACACUGGAACUGAGACACGGUCCAGACU
rnacentral:rRNA from 1 species